CAGGGAAUAUUUCUGAAGUGGUUUGGUUCUGAUUGGUUGAAAAUCCUAGGACUAGUUCGCAAAAGUAGGUUUCGGAUAUAGCUCGAUUUUGCGAGAAAACGGUGCGUCGUAGACCCCAAAAAGGCGCCGUGCACUUUUGUUCGGGCUAACCCAAGGAUUGCUAUGAUGCCAUGUUUUUGAGUUUAUGGCUAACGGUUUACGAUUCACGGCCAAAAACGUCCAAAAUUUUUGUUUUUUGCGCUAUAGCGCCCCCGUUUGGCCGAUUGGGCUGAGACUUUGAUAAGUUCUCCCCAAAAUGAGCUCUACGAUCUGUCCAAAUUUCAGCUCUCUAGGCCUUACGGUUUGGGCUGCACGUUCAGUUCUAGGGCGGAAGAAUAAUAAUAAUAAUAAUAAUAAUAAUAAUAAUAAAAAUCCUAACAAUUACAAUAGGGUUUCAGCACUGCGUGCUUGAACCCCUAAUUAAAGCUGCAAGCAGCAUUUACCGGGGUUCAAGCACAUUAAGGCCUCUGAGGUGGUCAGAGCCAACCUGGAUGCAUGGAUGACAGUUAAACACAUCCAAAAUGGAGAACAGGCUAACAGACAGACACACACACUGAAAGUAAAUGAUUAUACUAAUAUAUGUAUACUCUAUAAGCAUAUGCACACACACACACACAGAAAGACACACAUAUACAUGCACAAACAUUUUGUUGCAGAUAUAGGUAUUUGAAAUAAGUGAUAGGUGACAAUAAACUUAUUGCAAGUCUUCUCUUUUUAAGAGUUUAGAUGUCAUUUUCAGGUUAAACUGUAAUCACAAUGUGACAAAAUAGUAAAAACUGAUAUAUCUGUAAGAACAAAAUGGAAAACAUUGACUCAAUGAGAUUUAAAAUGUUAUAACAGUUACAUUUUUAAUGUUUUGGGAUGAAUUCAUGAAUCCUUUCAACAGUACUGUUCAACUUAACUGAAUGAGCCCAUUAGUGGUCUUCCACUGCCAUCUAGAGGUUAUAAAUUGCAUUUACUCAAGCAACACUGUUUUUAAACAUAACUGUUAUAGUGUUUUUUUUUUUUUUUUUUU